AGAGUUUGAUUAUGGCUCAGGAUGAACGCUAGCUACAGGCUUAACACAUGCAAGUCGAGGGGCAGCGAGAAGAAGCUUGCUUUCGUUGUCGGCGACCGGCGCACGGGGUGAGUAACGCGUAUCCAACCUUCCCCUUAGGUAGAGGAUAGCCCGGCGAAAGUCGGAUUAAUACUCUAUGUUAUUCGUUGAGGACAUCUGAAAUGAAUCAAAGGUUUACCGCUAAGGGGAUGGGGAUGCGUCUGAUUAGGUUGUUGGCGGGGUAACGGCCCACCAAGCCCACGAUCAGUAGGGGUUCUGAGAGGAAGGUCCCCCACAUUGGAACUGAGACACGGUCCAAACUCCUACGGGAGGCAGCAGUGAGGAAUAUUGGUCAAUGGACGGAAGUCUGAACCAGCCAAGUAGCGUUGCAGGAUGACGGCCCUAUGGGUUGUAAACUGCUUUUGUAUGGGAAUAAAGUGCGGGACGUGUCCCGUUUUGUAUGUACCAUAAGAAUAAGGACCGGCUAAUUCCGUGCCAGCCGCUGC
rnacentral:rRNA from 1 species